UACGUAGGGUGCGAGCGUUGUCCGGAAUUAUUGGGCGUAAAGAGCUCGUAGGCGGUGUGUCACGUCGUUCGUGAAAACCUGCAGCUUAACUGUGGGCGUGCGGUCGAUACGGGCAUCACUGGAGUUCGGCAGGGGAGACUGGAAUUCCUGGUGUAGCAGUGAAAUGCGUAGAGAUCAUGAGGAAGACCAGUGGCGAAGGCGGGUCUCUGGACAGUUCCUGACACUGAGGCACGAAGGCCAGGGGAGCAAACGGG
rnacentral:rRNA from 1 species